rnacentral:lncRNA from 1 species
CCCUUCACUGGUGGGAGCUUCCCCGGAGCUGAGCCCAGAGAACAGACCCUGCCAGGCGUAAUCUUGGAUCAGAUGCCAGGGAGCUAAGGACGGUGACACCCCCACAUGGGCCUGCUGUGCAGGGCGAAGGCAGACGGCAGCCUGGGGGUCUCUCCUCCCCUGCCAACCUCUGUUCUGUGCCCUGGCGGUAACUUACAGACCCUUGCCUGGCUGCCCUCCAACUUCCGCUUCCUGUGGCUGUCUGUCCGGGGACACCUGUGCCCGGGGACACCUGUGACCGGGGACACCUGUGAUCAGGCACACUUGUGCCUGGGGACACCUGUGACCAGAACACCUGUGCCUGGGGACACCUGUGCCUGGGGACACCUAUGACUGGGGACACCUGUGACCAGGGAUGUGUCCAGGGAUGCCUGUGCCUGGGGACACCUGUGACCGGGAACACCUGUGCCUGGGGACACCUGUGACUGGGGACACCUGUGCCUGGGGACACCUGUGACUGGGGACACCUGUGCCUGGGGACACCUGUGACCAGGGAUGUGUCCAAGGAUGCCUGUGCCUGGGGACACCUGUGACCGGGAACACCUGUGACCAGGGACACCUGUGCCUGGGUUACCUAUGAUCAGGAACACCCUGUGCCUGGGGUCACCUAUUAUCAGGAACACCCGUGACCAGUGACAUCUGUUCUGGGGACACUUGUGCUGGGGACACCUGGACUCAGUCGUGAACACCCCCCCGACCUCCCUGCAUGGCUGACGAACCUGUAGUCCCAGCUACUUGGGAGGUUAAGGCAGGAGAAUCGAUUGAACCCCAGAGGCGGACGUUGCUGUGAGCCAAGAUCACGCCACUGCACUCCAGCCUGGGUGACAAGAGCAAGACUCUGUCUCAAAAAAAAAAAAAAGGAAUUAAGUACCAAUAUAGAUGACAACAUGAGUGAACUCAAGCAUCACACCGAGUGAAAGAGGAAGGCACAGAAGACCACACCCGUGUGUGUGAAAUGUCCACAACAGGCAGAUCCACAGAGAGAUGCAGGGCCUCCCUCUGUCGCCCAGGCUGGAGUGCACUGCAACCUCCACCUCCCAGGCUCAAGUGAUUCUCCAGCCUCAGCUUCCCAAGUAGCUGGGACCAUCGGUGUGCACCACCACGCCCAGCCAGCAAGCAUAUGAAGAGAUGCUUGAAAUCAUCAGUCAUCAGAGAAAUGCAAAUUAAAACCACCACGAUGAUCCCAUCCCACCAUCAGGCUGCCAAGAUGAGAAGCUGGAUCUGCCAAGAAUGUUCUCAACCUUCAAAGUUCAAAAGGCUCACGUGAUGGUGUCUAUGCAACGUGUGCGCAUCCGUGAGGACGUGGUAUCUGCAUCCGCGUGGCCAGCGUGUCCCUCUAGAAACAAACAGGCCCCUCCCGUCCUCCACGGCGCUGUGGUCCAGGCACCCCCUCAUCAGCGCUGCAGGCCCCGGCAUCUGAGCAGCCAUUCCUGCAGGAAGCCCCUGAGGCUUGGGGUGGCCGUUGCCACCACAUGGUCCUGCCAGCCUCACUGGGGCGUCUCCUGCCUGCAGCUUCGGCCCAUCCACCACACUCAGCUACCGUGUGAGUCUCUUCAGGACACCACAACAAACACGGGCCGGUGGCUUAAAUCACAUGCACCCAUCACCCACCCCGGAGGCCGGGGCACCCAUCACCCACCCCGGAGGCCAGGGCACCCGUCACCCGCCCCGGAGGCUGGAAGUCCCCACCUCGGGGCCAGCAGGGCGGGUUCAUCCUGUGCCUCCCUCCUUGGCCGGCAGUCGGUGUCUCCUCCGUGCAUUCAUCUGCGGCCCCCUGUGCCUGUCUGCAUCCUUACCUCCUCCUUGUCCAUCACAGGUCGGUCAUCACGAGCCAGUUAUCACCGGCCAGUUAUUACAGGCCAGUCAUCACGAGCUGGUCAUCACUCUCUAAGCCGCUGUCUGGGAACUUUUCCUCCCCGAUCUCCUCUUCAUAUUGCAUCACCCGUGGGACUGGAUCAGGGUCCACCCCAACAACCUUGUUUUACCUUGACAGACUCAUUAAAGACCCCUUUUCUGAAUGCAA